UACGUAGGGUGCAAGCGUUGUCCGGAAUUAUUGGGCGUAAAGAGCUCGUAGGCGGCUAGUCGCGUCGGCUGUGAAAACCUGGGGCUCAACCCCGGGCCUGCAGCCGAUACGGGCUAGCUAGAAUUCGGUAGGGGAGAACGGAAUUCCUGGUGUAGCGGUGAAAUGCGCAGAUAUCAGGAGGAACACCGGUGGCGAAGGCGGGUCUCUGGGCCGAUACUGACGCUGAGGAGCGAAAGCGUGGGGAGCGAACAGG
rnacentral:rRNA from 1 species